rnacentral:rRNA from 1 species
UACGUAGGGUCCGAGCGUUGUCCGGAAUUAUUGGGCGUAAAGGGCUCGUAGGCGGUUCGUCACGUCGGGCGUGAAAACUCGGGGCUUAACCCCGAGCCUGCUUCCGAUACGGGCAGACUAGAGGUAGGCAGGGGAGAGCGGAACUCCUGGUGUAGCGGUGGAAUGCGCAGAUAUCAGGAAGAACACCGGUGGCGAAGGCGGCAUUCUGGACCGACAUUGACGCUGAGGAGCGAAAGCCAGGGGAGCAAACGGG